rnacentral:rRNA from 1 species
UUGAGYUUGAUCMUGGCUCAGAUUGAACGCUGGCGGCAGGCCUAACACAUGCAAGUCGAGCGGAAACGAUGGAAGCUUGCUUCCAGGCGUCGAGCGGCGGACGGGUGAGUAAUGCAUGGGAAUCUGCCCGAUAGUGGGGGAUAACCUGGGGAAACCCAGGCUAAUACCGCAUACGUCCUACGGGAGAAAGCAGGGGAUCUUCGGACCUUGCGCUAUCGGAUGAGCCCAUGUCGGAUUAGCUUGUUGGUGAGGUAAUGGCUCACCAAGGCGACGAUCCGUAGCUGGUCUGAGAGGAUGAUCAGCCACAUCGGGACUGAGACACGGCCCGAACUCCUACGGGAGGCAGCAGUGGGGAAUAUUGGACAAUGGGCGAAAGCCUGAUCCAGCCAUGCCGCGUGUGUGAAGAAGGCCCUCGGGUUGUAAAGCACUUUCAGUGGGGAAGAAAGCCUUGGGAUUAAUACUACCCG